AUGCACCAGGGCAGGGACCCCCCCCCGCCUCCAGCUCCGGCCCCAGCGAAGGCUUCACCGUGGAGCUGCAAUGGGACGAGCCUGGCGCGAUGGACGGGGACUACGCAGCCGCCUUCUUCCACCUCCUGCUGCCCAUUGCCUUUGAGGUCAGGGGGGCCUAUGGUGCUCUAUGGGGCCCUAUGGGUGCUCUAUGGGGUUUUAUGGGGCUCUAUGGGGCCCUAUGGGGCUCUAUGGGGCUCGAUGGGCCCCAUAGCCUCUGUCUCUGCAGUUCCAGCCCCAGCUCGUGCUGGUGGCCGCCAGCUUCGACAUCGCCAGCGAGGACCCCAAGGUACCUACAGGGGUCAAUGGGACCCUAUGGGGGGGACAUCCCAACACCCCCCCCCUUUGGUGGGGUUGGGGGUGCUUGGGUGCUAUGGAGCUCUACAGGCACUAUAGGGUUCUAUAGGUGCU
rnacentral:lncRNA from 14 species